rnacentral:rRNA from 1 species
CAGUCGCCGCGGUAAUACAGAGGGUGCAAGCGUUAAUCGGAUUUACUGGGCGUAAAGGGCGCGUAGGUGGUUAUUUAAGUGAGAUGUGAAAGCCCCGGGCUUAACCUGGGAACUGCAUCUUAUACUGGGUAACUGGAGUGCAGUAGAGGGUAGUGGAAUUUCCGGUGUAGCGGUGAAACGCGUAGAUAUCGGAAGGAACACCAGUGGCGAAGGCGGCUACCUGGACUGAGACUGACGCUCAUGCACGAAAGCGUGGGGAGCAAACAGGAUUAGAUACCCCGGUAGUCCCUGUCUCUUAUAC